rnacentral:rRNA from 1 species
CACUAUCGUUAACUGAAUACAUAGGUUAACGAGGCGAACCGGGGGAACUGAAACAUCUAAGUACCCCGAGGAAAAGAAAUCAACCGAGAUUCCCCCAGUAGCGGCGAGCGAACGGGGAGCAGCCCAGAGUCUGAAUCAGCUUGUGUGUUAGUGGAACGGUCUGGAAAGUCCGACGGUACAGGGUGAUAGUCCCGUACACCAAAAUGCACAGGCUGUGAACUCGAAGAGUAGGGCGGGACACGUGGUAUCCUGUCUGAAUAUGGGGGGACCAUCCUCCAAGGCUAAAUACUCCUGACUGACCGAUAGUGAACCAGUACCGUGAGGGAAAGGCGAAAAGAACCCCGGCGAGGGGAGUGAAAAAGAACCUGAAACCGUGUACGUACAAGCAGUGGGAGCACCUUCGGGUGUGACUGCGUACCUUUUGUAUAAUGGGUCAGCGACUUAUAUUCUGUAGCAAGGUUAACCGUAUAGGGGAGCCGCAGGGAAACCGAGUCUUAACUGGGCGUUAAGUUGCAGGGUAUAGACCCGAAACCCGGUGAUCUAGCCAUGGGCAGGUUGAAGGUUGGGUAACACUAACUGGAGGACCGAACCGACUAAUGUUGAAAAAUUAGCGGAUGACUUGUGGCUGGGGGUGAAAGGCCAAUCAAACCGGGAGAUAGCUGGUUCUCCCCGAAAGCUAUUUAGGUAGCGCCUCGUGAACUCAUCUUCGGGGGUAGAGCACUGUUUCGGCUAGGGGGUCAUCCCGACUUACCAACCCGAUGCAAACUACGAAUACCGAAGAAUGUUAUCACGGGAGACACACGGCGGGUGCUAACGUCCGUCGUGAAGAGGGAAACAACCCAGACCGCCAGCUAAGGUCCCAAAGUCAUGGUUAAGUGGGAAACGAUGUGGGAAGGCACAGACAGCCAGGAUGUUGGCUUAGAAGCAGCCAUCAUUUAAAGAAAGCGUAAUAGCUCACUGGUCGAGUCGGCCUGCGCGGAAGAUGUAACGGGGCUAAACCAUGCACCGAAGCUGCGGCAGCGACACUAUGUGUUGUUGGGUAGGGGAGCGUUCUGUAAGCCUGCGAAGGUGUGCUGUGAGGCAUGCUGGAGGUAUCAGAAGUGCGAAUGCUGACAUAAGUAACGAUAAAGCGGGUGAAAAGCCCGCUCGCCGGAAGACCAAGGGUUCCUGUCCAACGUUAAUCGGGGCAGGGUGAGUCGACCCCUAAGGCGAGGCCGAAAGGCGUAGUCGAUGGGAAACAGGUUAAUAUUCCUGUACUUGGUGUUACUGCGAAGGGGGGACGGAGAAGGCUAUGUUAGCCGGGCGACGGUUGUCCCGGUUUAAGCAUGUAGGCUGGUUGUCCAGGCAAAUCCGGAUAAUCAAGGCUGAGGUGUGAUGACGAGGCACUACGGUGCUGAAGUAACAAAUGCCCUGCUUCCAGGAAAAGCCUCUAAGCAUCAGGUAACAUUAAAUCGUACCCCAAACCGACACAGGUGGUCAGGUAGAGAAUACCAAGGCGCUUGAGAGAACUCGGGUGAAGGAACUAGGCAAAAUGGUGCCGUAACUUCGGGAGAAGGCACGCUGGUGUGUAGGUGAAGUCCCUGCGGAUGGAGCUGAGACCAGUCGAAGAUACCAGCUGGCUGCAACUGUUUAUUAAAAACACAGCACUGUGCAAACACGAAAGUGGACGUAUACGGUGUGACGCCUGCCCGGUGCCGGAAGGUUAAUUGAUGGGGUUAUCCGUAAGGAGAAGCUCUUGAUCGAAGCCCCGGUAAACGGCGGCCGUAACUAUAACGGUCCUAAGGUAGCGAAAUUCCUUGUCGGGUAAGUUCCGACCUGCACGAAUGGCGUAAUGAUGGCCAGGCUGUCUCCACCCGAGACUCAGUGAAAUUGAACUCGCUGUGAAGAUGCAGUGUACCCGCGGCAAGACGGAAAGACCCCGUGAACCUUUACUAUAGCUUGACACUGAACAUUGAGCCUUGAUGUGUAGGAUAGGUGGGAGGCUUUGAAGCGUGGACGCCAGUCUGCGUGGAGCCAACCUUGAAAUACCACCCUUUAAUGUUUGAUGUUCUAACGUUGGCCCCUUACCGGGGUUGCGGACAGUGUCUGGUGGGUAGUUUGACUGGGGCGGUCUCCUCCCAAAGCGUAACGGAGGAGCACGAAGGUUAGCUAAUCCUGGUCGGACAUCAGGAGGUUAGUGCAAUGGCAUAAGCUAGCUUGACUGCGAGCGUGACGGCGCGAGCAGGUGCGAAAGCAGGUCAUAGUGAUCCGGUGGUUCUGAAUGGAAGGGCCAUCGCUCAACGGAUAAAAGGUACUCCGGGGAUAACAGGCUGAUACCGCCCAAGAGUUCAUAUCGACGGCGGUGUUUGGCACCUCGAUGUCGGCUCAUCACAUCCUGGGGCUGAAGUAGGUCCCAAGGGUAUGGCUGUUCGCCAUUUAAAGUGGUACGCGAGCUGGGUUUAGAACGUCGUGAGACAGUUCGGUCCCUAUCUGCCGUGGGCGCUGGAGAAUUGAGGGGGGCUGCUCCUAGUACGAGAGGACCGGAGUGGACGCAUCACUGGUGUUCGGGUUGUCAUGCCAAUGGCACUGCCCGGUAGCUAAAUGCGGAAGAGAUAAGUGCUGAAAGCAUCUAAGCACGAAACUUGCCCCGAGAUGAGUUCUCCCUGAGACUUUAAGUCUCCUGAAGGAACGUUGAAGACGACGACGUUGAUAGGCCGGGUGUGUAAGCGCAGCGAUGCGUUGAGCUAACCGGUACUAAUGAACCGUGAGGCUUAACCUU